AAAAAAAUUGGGGUUAAAUCGAUUUGGGGUUUAGACCCAGUAUGGGGGUUUGUAGUAAGGGUUUUGAUAAGAUUUCGGUUUCAAUCUGAAGCGGAAUUGUAUCUUAUUUCUUAAACUGUUUCGAAAUGAAAGGUGUUUUAAACGGAAGAGGAUUUUCUCUUUUUUUCUCAAGGGUUUCUCAACCUUUUAGGUUUGAUAUGUGUUCGCUUUCAUUGGGUUCGUAAUAUUUUAAAUUCCAAAUCACAGAGGUGAUUAUAUAAGCUAGUCUUCCUUUUGAUCUGAAUCUGAAAUAUCUUAACUUUGC
rnacentral:lncRNA from 1 species